AUAAUAUGGUACAUGCAUUACAAGAAACAAAAAAAUGAGGAUCAUGAAAAUGGAUUCCCGUUGGCUCCGUGUGUGUGUUCUAGUCCUCCUAAUCCAGGUAGUUGUUUCCCAUGAGACAACUAAGCCACCGACUGACUUCUUUCUGUGGUAUGGAAGACACUAUCCUCACAUUCCAUACUUUCCCCAACCUUAUCCGUGGUUUGCCCGUUCUCCUCGCUCAUCGCCUCCGUCUUUUAUAAAUCCAUUUCCUCCAACUCCAAAUGCAUAUUGGUUCUACAAAAACCCUUUUGCUCCCAAAGCUCCAUCUCCUAUGCAAGCGCCAUGAUUGUAACGACCCGCUAAGCCGAUAUUUUAUUAUUAGCUUGAUUAUCUAUAUAAGUAACUUUUAUGCGAUUAAAUCCAAGCUACUAUAGAUUGUCGUCGUUAUUUGUUUUGACGAUAGACAAGUGAAUAGAAUCCACAAAUAUAUAUAAUACACCUAUAUGAAUAUAAUAAAUUUAAAUGAAUAAAUAAAUAAGAUCCUAAAAUUCAAAAUCUUGAUGUCCGAUACAUCCAACAAAAGUCCAACAAAAUUUAAUACAUCCUGCGUUUUAAGAAAAUCGGGUACUUCAACGAGGACAGCCUCGAACUUGAACCGAUUAUACCUACACCAAUUAAAUAAACAAGUGAACAAAUACUCAAAUAAUUACAUUAAUAAAAAAAAGAGGGCAGAUCAUAGAGGAUCGAUCUUUUCGGACACUGCAUUAAAUGCUGCAUUAAUAGAUUGCAGUAGAAGCCAUCUUUCUCUGACAAAAUAUUUGAAGGAUACGCCACUUGCCAUCUAUUAUGUAUAGAUACAUUUAUGCAAAUAAUUUUCUUUAACUCACACAUUAUAUCAAAUAAAAUAUAAGGAUAUUGCAAGUGGGUAGUAUGCAUUUAAUGCAUAUCAUCUUUGCAUAUCUCAUAACAAGAUUUGUUAAGGAGAUUGAGGGGGUAGAUUAUGCCAAGUAAACAAGUAAGAUAUCAAAUCUGUGCAAGAGAUCAAAACCGUAUCAAAAUAGGAGAUUUUUAUAUCAUAGCUUGCAACUUGUCCAAGGAUGACAACUAUAUAUAACCCCAAAGUCUUUACAAGUAUCGAACACCCAAACUUCUCUUCACACACACCAACAAAUUGAAUGGGAGAACAAGAAUCAGGGACGGGGGAGUAUUUCAGAUGAUUAUAGGAUCAUACUCUACAAUCCAACAACACUUUACUUUGUUCCCACAUCAAAAGGCUAUCUCUGCAAGUAAGGUCGGAGUAAGAGAUUCAAGUAAGGAAAGUAAGCGAUCAAGGAGAUCAAAACCGUAUCAAAAUAGGAGAUUUUUAUAUCAUAGCUUGCAACUUGUCCAAGGAUGACAACUAUAUAUAACCCCAAAGUCUUUACAAGUAUCGAACACCCAACCUUCUCUUCACACACACCAACAAAUCGAAUGGGAGAACAAGAAUCAAGGACGGGGGAGUAUUUCAGAUGAUUAUAGGAUCAUACUCUACAAUCCAACAACACUUUACUUUGUUCCCACAUCAAAAGGCUAUCUCUGCAAGUAAGGUCGGAGUAAGAGAUUCAAGUAAGGAAAGUAAGCGAUCAAGGUUGAGCAGCAAAGUGGUGGAGGAAGUGCUAUUGAGACAAGACAUUUAAUUCAGUCAGAUUUUGAC